UUUUUUGAUUUUUUUUGUCGUCG
rnacentral:sRNA from 1 species